rnacentral:rRNA from 1 species
GAUAAACGCUGGCGGCGUGCAUGAGACAUGCAAGUCGAACGGGUUCCUCCGGGCUUGCCUGGAGGGGCUAGUGGCGGACGGCUGAGUAACGCGUGGGUGACCUGCCCGGAAGUGGGGAAUAACUGCCCGAAAGGGUGGCUAAUACCGCAUGUGGCCAUACGUUCGAUCGUGUGACCAAAGCCGCGAGGCGCUUCCGGAGGGGCCUGCGUCCGAUUAGCUCGUUGGUGGGGUAACGGCUCACCAAGGCGACGAUCGGUAGGUGGUCUGAGAGGACGAUCACCCAGACUGGGACUGAGACACGGCCCAGACUCCUACGGGAGGCAGCAGUCGGGAAUUUUGCUCAAUGGGCGAAAGCCUGAAGCAGCAACGCCGCGUGAGGGAUGAAGGCCUUCGGGUUGUAAACCUCUUUUCUCAGGGACGAUGAUGACGGUACCUGAGGAAUAAGCCACGGCUAACUACGUGCCAGCCGCCGCAGUAAAAC